CGGACGGGUGAGUAACGCGUGGGGAACCUGCCCUGUACCGGGGGAUAGCAGCCGGAAACGGCUGAUAAUACCGCAUAAGCGCACGAAUGUCGCAUGACAUGGUGUGAAAAACUCCGGUGGUAUAGGAUGGACCCGCGUCUGAUUAGCCUGUUGGUGGGGUAAAAGCCUACCAAAGCGAAGAUCAGUAGCCGAGUUGAGAGACUGACCGGCCACAUUGGGACUGAGACACGGCCCAGACUCCUACGGGAGGCAGCAGCG
rnacentral:rRNA from 1 species